rnacentral:rRNA from 1 species
UACGUAGGGAGCGAGCGUUGUCCGAAGUUACUGGGCGUAAAGCGCGCGUAGGCGGUUCUUUAAGUCCGGCGUGAAAGGUUCAGGGCUCAACCCGAACAGUGCGCUGGAGACUGGAGAGCUUGAGGACGGGAGAGGGAAGCGGAAUUCCGGGUGUAGCGGUGAAAUGCGUAGAUAUCCGGAGGAACACCGAUGGCGAAGGCAGCUUCCUGGCCCGUAUCUGACGCUGAGGUGCGAAAGCGUGGGGAGCGAACGGG